rnacentral:tRNA from 1 species
AGCUGAGAUGGUAAAAGCAUCUGCCUGCACUGCAGAAGACCCAGGUUCAAUCCCUGG